UGGCUCAGAGGGUAAAGCAUCUGCCUGCAAUGUGGGAGACCAGGGUUCGAUUCCCUG
rnacentral:tRNA from 1 species